rnacentral:rRNA from 1 species
UGAGGAAUUUUGCGCAAUGGACGAAAGUCUGACGCAGCGACGCCGCGUGUGGGAUGAAGGGGCUACGCCCUGUAAACCACUGUUAGAUGUGAAAAAAAGAUGGCCUUGCCGUCCGGGAUUGUAGCAUCAGAGGAAGGACCGGCUAACUACGUGCCAGCAGCCGCGGUAAUACGUAGGGUCCGAGCGUUGUCCGGAAUUACUGGGUAUAAAGGGUGCGUAGGCGGGCUUUUACGUCAAGGGUUAAAGACUUCAGCUCAACUGAGGGAGUGCCUUUGAAACGGAAAGUCUUGAAUGUAAGAGAGGUAGGUAGAAUUCCUGGUGUAGCGGUGAAAUGCGUAGAUAUCAGGAGGAAUACCAGUGGCGAAGGCGGCCUACUGGCUUAUUAUUGACGCUGAGGCAC